rnacentral:rRNA from 1 species
AGAGUUUGAUCCUGGCUCAGGACGAACGCUGGCGGCGUGCUUAACACAUGCAAGUCGAGCGAGGCCCAUCUUCGGGUGGUGCCCUAGCGGCGAACGGGUGAGUAACACGUGGGCAACCUGCCCUCAGCUCUGGGAUAACUCCAAGAAAUUGGUGCUAAUACCGGAUGUGACCGCUGACCGCAUGGUCUGGUGGUGGAAAGAUUCAUCGGCUGAGGAUGGGCCCGCGGCCUAUCAGCUUGUUGGUGGGGUAAUGGCCCACCAAGGCGACGACAGGUAGCCGGCCUGAGAGGGUGACCGGCCACACUGGGACUGAGACACGGCCCAGACUCCUACGGGAGGCAGCAGUGGGGAAUAUUGCGCAAUGGGCGAAAGCCUGACGCAGCGACGCCGCGUGAGGGAUGACGGCCUUCGGGUUGUAAACCUCUUUCAGUAGGGACGAAGCGAAAGUGACGGUACCUACAGAAGAAGCACCGGCCAACUACGUGCCAGCAGCCGCGGUAAUACGUAGGGUGCAAGCGUUGUCCGGAAUUAUUGGGCGUAAAGAGCUCGUAGGCGGUCUGUCACGUCGGCUGUGAAAACCCGAGGCUCAACCUCGGGCCUGCAGUCGAUACGGGCAAACUAGAGUACUGCAGGGGAGACUGGAAUUCCUGGUGUAGCGGUGAAAUGCGCAGAUAUCAGGAGGAACACCGGUGGCGGAGGCGGGUCUCUGGGCAGUAACUGACGCUGAGGAGCGAAAGCGUGGGGAGCGAACAGGAUUAGAUACCCUAGUAGUCC